CCUACGGGUGGCAGCAGUGAGGAAUAUUGGUCAAUGGGCGUAAGCCUGAACCAGCCAAGUCGCGUGAGGGAUGAAGGUUCUAUGGAUCGUAAACCUCUUUUAUAAGGGAAUAAAGUGCGGGACGUGUCCCGUUUUGUAUGUACCUUAUGAAUAAGGAUCGGCUAACUCCGUGCCAGCAGCCGCGGUAAUACGGAGUAGCCGAGCGUGAUCCGGAUGUGUUGGGCUUAAAGGGUGCGUAGGCGUCCUUUUAAGUCAGCGGUGAAAGUCUGGGGCUAAACCAUAGGAUUGCCGUUGAAACUGGCAGGCGUGUGUAGGUUUGAGGCAGGCGGAAUGCGUGGUGUAGCGGUGAAAUGCUUAG
rnacentral:rRNA from 1 species